rnacentral:rRNA from 1 species
AACGAACGCUGGCGGCAGGCUUAACACAUGCAAGUCGAGCGAGAUCUUCGGAUCUAGCGGCGGACGGGUGAGUAACGCGUGGGAACGUGCCCUUUGCUACGGAAUAGUCCCGGGAAACUGGGUUUAAUACCGUAUGUGCCCUACGGGGGAAAGAUUUAUCGGCAAAGGAUCGGCCCGCGUUGGAUUAGGUAGUUGGUGGGGUAAUGGCCUACCAAGCCGACGAUCCAUAGCUGGUUUGAGAGGAUGAUCAGCCACACUGGGACUGAGACACGGCCCAGACUCCUACGGGAGGCAGCAGUGGGGAAUCUUAGACAAUGGGGGCAACCCUGAUCUAGCCAUGCCGCGUGAGUGAUGAAGGCCUUAGGGUUGUAAAGCUCUUUCAGCUGGGAAGAUAAUGACGGUACCAGCAGAAGAAGCCCCGGCUAACUCCGUGCCAGCCGCCGCCGUAACAC